rnacentral:lncRNA from 1 species
CAACAAAAAUAGUCUAUAGCAACACUUUUAAAUGUAGAUACAUGUCAAAAAAGUGCUGCUAGCUAAAAUUACCGACACUUUUAAAAAGUAUUGCUAUAUGUGGGGUCCCUAGGUAUAUAGUGACAGUUAAAGAGUGUCGCUAUAAUCUAAAAGAGUGCUGCUAAUUACCAACACUUAUUUAAGCAUUUAGCAACCGCCGAAACUCUAUCUCGUUGGCUGCGGUAGCGGAGGAGGACGACAGGAAAGGGUCUUCGUCUAGAAUUUCAAUGGAUUGAGUGAAGAGAGAAGAAAAGAUGGCAAUUGAAUUUCUAUGGUGCUUCCGAUUCUUUGGACCUUAGAUCAAGCCCUUUAAUCAUUUCUAACCUUUGAAUUAAUACUAUUAACCUGUGGGGACCACUCAACCCAAGGGGUAUUACUCAACCCUCGGGGGACCACAAUCAUCUCAACCGUAUAAUUUUUUAUCUAAUGGUCAAAAAGUUGGAAGCAUCAGAUCAUCUAUGCUUCUGAUAGCAUAGUAGUUCUACACUGGGCGUGUUUGGUUCGCUUCUUUUUUACCAUGGAAUCGGAAUGGGAAUGAGUGAAUCCAUUUGUGGGUGUUUGGUACGUGGGAAUCUCACUCCGAUUCCGAUUCCCGAGUGGAAUGGGAAUCGCUUAAUCAGCCUUUUUUCAAUCCGGCCUAGAAGGCCGGAUUGGAAGUUGAAUCUGGACGGAAUGGAUAUUUAUUUGGAUUAAAUUUAUUUUUUCAAUAUUUUUAAUUAAAAUAUGAGUUAUAAUUUAAAAAUUAAAUAUAUAAUUUUAAAUUUUAAUUUUAAAUUAAAUUAAAAAUUAAAUUUUAAUCAAGUAUUUCGAAUCUAACUUAUGAAUUUGAAUUUAAAUUAAAAUUUUAAUUUAUAUAAAGUUUAUUCAAAUUUUAUUUCAAACUUAAAUUUAGUUUUAUAUUUUGAAUUAUCCACUCAACUUCAAAGUUUAAUUUUUUUUAAAAAAAAUAGAUUUAAAAUUUUGACAUCAUUUUAAAAUUUUGAUGUAAAAUUCUAAUACUUAAUAUUUAAUUUGAAUUUAAAUUAAUAUAUUAUAAAGAUAAUGUUAGUAUAUUAAUUUGAUUACGUUUUUAUAUCCAUCUGAACCAAACACCGACAAUGGGAAUGAUUUAUUCCAAUUCCGAUUCAGGUGAUGAACCAAACAGAAUUAGGUAAUGAGUCAUUCCGAUUCCGAUUCCAGCUUAUUUUGAUUCCGAUUCCGAUUCCGACUCCGAUUUCGAACCAAACACGCCCUAUAUAUAUAUAAUUAGGCUACUAUACUAUCUAUAAUACCGAAGCUCCGGUACUAUAGUCUUGUUUUCGAUCUUAGGGUGUUCAAAUUAACGAUCCACACCGUUAAAUAUGAUGUAGGGUAUAUGAAGCUCUUAAGAAUAAAAUUUUAGUUUUUUUCGAUAUCGUUUACUUAGUAAAUAAAUUAUGUCAAAAUAGACGGUGGAAAUUGAAUAAUCUUUAAAAUUUGAACCGAUGGAAAUCUGCUA